UUUAACCACAGCACCGGGUCACAGCAGCAGUGACCCAGUGUCCUUUUUUACCAAUCGCAACACUACUGUUGCGGCACCUGACGAUGAUCCGGGCCAACCAAUAACUUGUCGGAACUGAGGCACCUCACUCAUUCCCAUUCGUGGGGACUGAGCUUCCUACGCAGAAGGCGUUAGCAAAUAGACUGUUUAAUCACAAACAAACAAGCUCUCUCUCUCUCUCUCUCUCUCUGAUUUCGUGGAUCUUCUUUCUCUAGCGACGUCAAAGGCUUCAUGAUCGAUCUUCUCCGACGAUGCUGAUCUUGCUUCACGCACCCACUCUUCCUCGUUAAAGGAGUUAUUUUUUUAUAAUCGGGUGUUCGGGCCAACUUAUAAACAACUUAAGUAAUUCUAGGAACCAAUCCUACCGUCUACUUGUGAGGGUCCCAUUUAAAGUCAGAGCAAAUACCUUGUAUGUACAGGUCCCAAGACACUUAUUGCAACUAGCAAGUAUUUAACAUGCGACCUGAAAAGAGCAUACCACCAGGCCCCAAGUAGUGUCCACUAGGCCAAUUAAUAUCAACCCAAGUUGUGCCCAGUAGGCAUAGAGUUAAUAUCUACCCUCUUUCUUUCUCCUUCCAACCAUGACAAAUGACUCGUUAUAAUCUUAAACGCUGGAGAAACCAUCAUUCCUUGACCUUCCUCAGAAUUUUCCCACAAUCCAAACACCAAACCCAUUCCUUCUCUGCUUCCAAAAUCCAAUACCCAGAUGCCAACUCCAUCACAGUACCAUUUCCCGCCACUUCUUCUCCACUCUCAGCACAGCAAACCCAUGUUUCCAACAAUUCUACACCCUCUGGUCAAUGUAAAUUCACUGACGUAAUUUCAUCGAACAAGAUGAUCACCAAUCACAUUCGGUCUGGUGAUCUAGAUUCAGCCCUCAGAGUGUUUGAAAAUAUGACAGCUAGAACCACAAUUACAUGGAAUUCAAUCUUGGCUGGGUUUUCAAAAAAACCUGGGAAAGUUAAAGAAGCCCGCCAAUGGUUUGAUAGAAUUCCUGAACCAGACACUGUUUCUUUCAACACAAUGUUAGCUUGUUAUUUACACAAUGCUGAUAUUGGGUCUGCAAGGACUUUCUUUGGUCAAAUUCCCAACAAAGACACUGCGUCGUGGAAUACUAUGAUAUCGGGUUUUUCUCAGAAUGGGAUGAUGAAGGAAGCCCAAGAGUUGUUCUCAACAAUGCCGGUGAAAAAUAGUGUCUCGUGGAAUGCGAUGAUAUCAGGUUAUGUCAAGUCAGGGGAUUUGGAUUCGGUAUUGGAGUUAUUUUGGGCAGCUCCGGUUAAGAGUGUGAUUGCAUGGACUGCAAUGAUAACUGGGCAUAUGAAAUUUGGAAAGGUUGAAUUGGCUGAGAAAUUUUUUAAAGAGAUGCCAGUGAAGAAUUUGGUGACAUGGAAUGCUGUGAUUUCAGGUUAUGUUGAAAAUUGCCUAUCAGAGGAUGCAUUGAAGCUAUUUAGGAAAAUGGUGGAAUUGGGAGUCAAGCCAAAUCCAUCAAGCUUGAGUAGUGUUCUAUUGGGUUGUAGCAAUUUAUCUGCUUUGAAGUUGGGUAAGCAAAUUCAUCAGCUUACGUGCAAAUCUGUCUUGUGUUUGGAUACAACCGUUGUGACUUCAUUGAUUAGCAUGUACUGCAAGUGUGGAGAUUUAAAUGACGCAUGGAAAUUGUUCCUUGAGAUGCCACAUAGAGACAUUGUCACGUGGAAUGCGAUGAUUUCUGGGUAUGCCCAACAUGGGGCAGGUGAAAAGUCUCUAAGUUUGUUUGAUGAGAUGAGACAUGAGGGAAUCAAACCAGACUGGAUUACCUUUGUUGGAGUUUUAUCGGCUUGUAAUCAUGCAGGAUUGGUAGACCUUGGGAUUAAAUAUUUCGAUACAAUGUCAAAGGAUUAUGGGGUUGAAGCUAAGCGAGAUCAUUAUACAUGUAUGGUUGACCUUCUUGGUCGAGCUGGUAAACUAAUUGAAGCUGUAGAUUUGAUAAAGAAAAUGCCUUUCAAACCACACAACGCCAUAUUCGGGACCCUUUUAGGUGCUUGUAGGAUCCACAAUAACUUGGACCUCGCCGAGUUUGCUGCCAAGAACUUGCUUGAUCUUGAUCCUAUGAAUGCAGCCGGUUAUGUUCAACUCGCUAACGUUUAUGCUGCAAUAAACAGAUGGGACAAUGUUGCUAGAGUUCGACGAUCAAUGAAGGACAAUAAGGUGAUUAAAAUACCCGGGUAUAGUUGGAUUGAGGUGAAGAGUGUGGUUCAUGAGUUCAGAUCAGGAGAUAGAGUUCACCCAGAAUUGAAAUUGAUACAUGAAAAAUUGAAUGAGUUGGAGAAGAAAAUGAAGUUGGAAGGCUAUGUGCCGGAUCUUGACUUUGCAUUGCAUGAUGUUGGGGAGGAGCAGAAGGAGAAGCUACUCUUAUGGCACAGUGAGAAACUUGCAAUUGCUUAUGGGUUGAUGAGGAUACCGUUAGGGACUCCAAUUCGAGUGUUUAAAAACUUGAGAGUAUGCGGUGAUUGCCAUCGUGCCACCAAGUACAUUUCGGCAAUAGAAAGGAGGGAAAUCAUUGUGAGAGACACUACAAGGUUUCAUCAUUUCAAGAAUGGGAUUUGCUCUUGUGGUGAUUAUUGGUGAAACCUGAAAAUUGAAGUUAUUUCCUGAAAUUUUAUGGGGAAAGAGGAAUUAAAAUGAAUUUAAAUUUCAUUGAGAACACUACACUAAUUUGGCAUUAAUGCUGGGAAAUGAAGGUUUUCUCAACAUUCGGUUUGAACACCCUUUUUGCCCAUUCAUGGGCAUGUGUUUGAAAUGUCAGGGAGGUCGCCCCACCCUGGAAAGUUGCAUCACCCGGUCUGACACAAUCCUCAAUGUUCGCAAGCUUUUUACCGGAGCCCAAAUGGAAUUUGAAAGAGAACUGAAACUGCAAACCUUCAGGUUUUUCCCUCCAACUCGGCAAGAUUUUCAUUGCUACUGAUGAUGAGGCAGCUGUGUUGCAGGGCGAGAAAGAAACUGAGAAAAUGAUUGUAGAAGCUUAUGCAGCCCUUCUUGCAUUCCUUUCAACUGAAAGGUUUGUCAUGGAUAAUAUGUGUUUGGAUAUUUUCUUAAUAAAAUUUGUUGGCGUUUUGCCUCUCUCAGUAAGAGCAUAUGUAAUGCUAUUGUCGAUUGUCUCCCGGAUCACAAACUGGCAAUUCUUAUAUCUGUGUUGGAGAGUUUCGUAUUCUUUUUUUUUUUUUUGAGAACCCUACAGGGGUGUUUGGCUGAGGAGAAAAAGGAAACAGUGUCUAUGAUUGUUGAGAACCA